AACGAGCGCAACCCUUGCCUUUAGUUGCCAGCAGUUCGGCUGGGCACUCUAAAAGGGACUGCCGGGUGUUAAACCGGAGGAAGGUGGGGAUGACGUCAAGUCCUCAUGGCCUUUAUGACCAGGGCUACACACGUACUACAAUGGCCGAUACAAAGGGCAGCGACACUGCGAGGUGAAGCCAAUCCCGUAAAAUCGGUCUCAGUCCGGAUUGGAGUCUGCAACUCGACUCCAUGAAGUUGGAAUCGCUAGUAAUCGUGGAUCAGCAUGCCACGGUGAAUACCGUUCCCGGGCCUU
rnacentral:rRNA from 1 species